rnacentral:rRNA from 1 species
AUACGGAGGACGCGAGCGUUAUCCGGAUUCAUUGGGUUUAAAGGGUGCGCAGGCGGCCGUGCAAGUCAGCGGUGAAAGCCCGGGGCUCAACCCCGGAAGUGCCGUUGAUACUGCAUGGCUGGAAUGCGGUCGAGGCGGGCGGGACGUGGCGUGUCGCGGUGAAAUGCGUAGAUAUGCCACAGAACGCCGAUAGCGGGGGCAGCUCGCCAGGCCUGCAUUGACGCUCGGGCACGAAAGCGUGGGGAUCGAACAGGAUUAGAUACCCUGGUAGUCCACGCCGUAAACGAUGGGCGCUCGUCGUCGGCGGCAGACAGUCGGCGGCCAAGCGAAAGCGAUAAGCGCCCCACCUGGGGAGUACGGUCGCAAGGCUGAAACUCAAAUGAAUUGACGGGG